CGCAAGCCUGACGGAGCAACGCCGCGUGAGGGAUGGAGGCCUUUGGGCUGUAAACCUCUUUUCUCAAGGAAGAAGAUCUGACGGUACUUGAGGAAUAAGCCACGGCUAAUUCCGUGCCAGCAGCCGCGGUAAUACGGGAGUGGCAAGCGUUAUCCGGAAUUAUUGGGCGUAAAGCGUCCGCAGGCGGCCGUUUAAGUCUGUUGUUAAAUCGUGGAGCUCAACUCCAUCACGGCAAUGGAAACUGUUCGGCUUGAGUAUGGUAGGGGCAGAGGGAAUUUCCGGUGUAGCGGUGAAAUGCGUAGAUAUCGGGAAGAACACCAGUGGCAAAAGCGCUCUGCUGGGCCAUUACUGACGCUCAUGGACGAAAGCCAGGGGAGCGAAAGGGAUUAGAUACCCCUGUAGUCCUGGCCGUAAACGAUGAACACUAGAUGUUGGGGGAAUCGACCCCCUCGGUGUCGUAGCUAACGCGUUAAGUGUUCCGCCUGGGGAGUACGCACGCAAGUGUGAAACUCAAAGGAAUUGACGGGGGCCCGCACAAGCGGUGGAGUAUGUGGUUUAAUUCGAUGCAACGCGAAGAACCUUACCAAGGCUUGACAUCCUGCGAAUCUCCAAGAAAUUGGAGAGUGCCUUUUGGAACGCAGUGACAGGUGGUGCAUCGCUGUCGUCAGCUCGUGUCGUGAGAUGUUGGGUUAAGUCCCGCAACGAGCGCAACCCACGUUUUUAGUUGCCAGCAUUCAGUUGGGCACUCUAGAAAGACUGCCGGUGACAAACCGGAGGAAGGUGUGGACGACGUCAAGUCAUCAUGCCCCUUACGCCUUGGGCUACACACGUACUACAAUGCUGCGGACAAAGAGUAGCGAUCUUGCGAAAGUUAGCUAAUCUCGUAAACCGUGGCUCAGUUCAGAUCGUAGGCUGCAACUCGCCUACGUGAAGGAGGAAUCGCUAGUAAUCGCAGGUCAGCAUACUGCGGUGAAUACGUUCCCGGGCCUUGUACACACCGCCCGUCACACCAUGGAAGUUGGCCAUGCCCGAAGUCGUUACUCUAACCUUUUGGAAGAGGGCGCCGAAGGUAGGGCUAAUGACUGGGGUGAAGUCGUAACAAGGUAGCCGUAGCGGAAGCUGCGGCUGGAUCACCUCCUAA
rnacentral:rRNA from 1 species